AUUGAACGCUGGCGGCAUGCUUUACACAUGCAAGUCGAACGGCAGCGCGGGCUUCGGCCUGGCGGCGAGUGGCGAACGGGUGAGUAAUACAUCGGAACGUGCCCAGUAGUGGGGGAUAGCUCGGCGAAAGCCGGAUUAAUACCGCAUACGACCUGAGGGUGAAAGCUGGGGAUCUUCGGACCUCGCGCUAUUUGAGCGGCCGAUGGCAGAUUAGCUAGUUGGUGGGGUAAAGGCCUACCAAGGCGACGAUCUGUAGCUGGUCUGAGAGGACGACCAGCCACACUGGGACUGAGACACGGCUCAGACUCCUACGGGAGGCAGCAGUGGGGAAUUUUGGACAAUGGGCGAAAGCCUGAUCCAGCAAUGCCGCGUGUGUGAUGAAGGCCUUCGGGUUGUAAAGCACUUUUGGCGGGAACGAAAAGGACUGUGCCAAUACCACGGUUCGAUGACGGUACCCGCAGAAUAAGCACCGGCUAACUACGUG
rnacentral:rRNA from 1 species